GGUCUGGUGGUCUAGCGGUAUGAUUCUCGCUUAGGGUCCACCCUACAGUUCAAGUUGCGAGAGGUCCCGGGUUCAAUCCCCGGCCAGACCC